rnacentral:rRNA from 1 species
GACGAACGCUGGCGGCGUGCUUAACACAUGCAAGUCGAACGAAGUGGCGAACGGGUGAGUAACGCGUAAUAAACCUGCCCUUCAGCGGGGGACAACCGUUGGAAACUACUGCUACUACCUCAUACUGCAGGCUGUGCUUGCGGCGGCUUAGCUAGUUGGAGGGGUAACGGCCCACCAAGGCGAGGAUCAGUAGCCGGGGUGAGAGGAUGAACGGCCAAAGUGGGACUGAGACACGGCCCAGACGCGUACGGGAGGCAGCAGGGGGGAUGUUUCCGCAAUGGACGAAAGGCUGAAGGAGGAACGCGGAGGGAGGGAGGACGGCCUUCGGGGUGGAAAGCUCUGUUAAGCGGGACGCGGUACCGGAAGAGAAAGCAACGGCUAACUACGUGCCAGCAGCCGCGGUAAUUC